rnacentral:rRNA from 1 species
AACUGGUUAUUACCAACACAAACCUCCCGUUGUUACAUGCGACGUCAAACUAUCUGCGCCAGAUAGGCAUCGAGGCGACGCCAAAGCCGUAUGGAAAGACCCAGAGAGGGGAAAGACAAAGAUACCGUAUAAUAGUCUACGGGAAGGAAAAAAUAACAAGGAUCAUUUCGGCCAUCCCCCUGAGACAUCCAAAAUUUUAUCCCCCACCACGGGGCCGAAAGUCCGGCAACGAGCGAGACCCCCGCCCCUAGUUGCUUUCCCGCUCUUCGGAGCGGGAGGCACACUAGGGGGACUGCCGGCGUAAGCCGGAGGAAGGAGGGGGCCACGGCAGGUCAGUAUGCCCCGAAACCCCGGGGCUGCACGCGAGCUGCAAUGGCGGGGACAGCGGGACCCGACCCCGAAAGGGGGAGGCAAUCCCGUAAACCCCGCCCCAGUAGGGAUCGAGGGCUGCAACUCGCCCUCGUGAACGUGGAAUCCCUAGUAACCGCGUGUCACCAACGCGCGGUGAAUACGUCCCUGCCCCUU